AUAAGGAUGAGCGUGCGACAAGAUUAGCUAGUUGGUGAGGUAACGGCUCACCAAGGCGACGAUCUUUAGCUGAUGUGAGAGCAUGAUCAGCCACACGGGCACUGAGACACGGGCCCGACUCCUACGGGAGGCAGCAGUGAGGAAUAUUGGUCAAUGGACGGAAGUCUGAACCAGCCAUGCCGCGUGAAGGAUGAAGGCGUUCUGCGUUGUAAACUUCUUUUAUUUAGGAAGAAACCACCGAUUUCUAUUGGUGUUGACGGUAUUAAAUGAAUAAGCACCGGCUAACUCCGUG
rnacentral:rRNA from 1 species